CCUACGGGUGGCAGCAGUGAGGAAUAUUGGUCAAUGGACGAGAGUCUGAACCAGCCACGUAGCGUGAAGGAUGACUGCCCUAUGGGUUGUAAACUUCUUUUAUAUGGGAAUAAAACGUUCCAAGUGUGGGAUUUUGUAUGUACCAUAUGAAUAAGGAACGGCUAACUCCGUGCCAGCAGCCGCGGUAAUACGGAGGGUCCGAGCGUUCUCCGGAUUUAUUGGGUUUAAAGGGAGCGUAGGUGGAUUGUUAAGUCAGUUGUGAAAGGUUGCGGCUCAACCGUAACAUGGCAGUUGAAACUGGGAGUCUUGAGUACAGUAGAGGUGAGCGGAAUUCGUGGUGUAGCGGUGAAAUGCGUAGAUAUCACGAAGAACUCCGAUUGCGAAGGCAGUUCACUGGACUGCAACUGACACUGAGGCUCGAAAGUGUGGGUAGCAAACAGGAUUAGAUACCCUAGUAGUC
rnacentral:rRNA from 1 species